CGGCAACAGCUCAAAUUUGAAAUCUGGCGCAAGCCCGAGUUGUAAUUUGUAGAGGAUGUUUCUGGCGACGUGCCUUCCGAGUUCCCUGGAACGGGACGCCAUAGAGGGUGCAAGCCCCGU
rnacentral:rRNA from 1 species